AACGGAAUUUGCAGGAGGACCAUUAUUUUAUUAAAUUGGUACUGUCUGUAUCAUAAGUUUAUUUUUCAAGUGUGUAGUAAUGGGUUCAGUUCUAUUAUUAUACCACGAUUUUUUUAAGUUUCAGGGGGAGAAUUUUUUAAACGAACAAUAAAUAAGGUAAAUUAUAUUUGGAGAAAAAUAUUCAAUGAAAUGUUUUGUUAUGUUUUAUUAUCUUACUAGCUGACCUGGCGAACUUCGUACCGCCUUAUUUAUUUUUUAUUUAUUUAAACUUUAUUACACCAAAAAAUAAUAUUGUACAAAA